rnacentral:lncRNA from 1 species
AAGAACUUCGUGUUCGCCAUUGUGGAUUGAGAUGAAGAGAGCGGAAUAAUUGUUGGUCUAUGAAGGUGUUGUUGCGUUGCCGACGAAGAGAAUGAAUCAACGAAGAAUCCAGAGUAAUUUCCGCGAGAUCUCGAACGAAUCUGUAUCCGAUCCGAAGUCCGGCCAAAUCGUAAGCUCCGAUGAUCCUUCUUCUUCUUCUUCUUCUCGUUCUUAGUUUGUUUCUCUGAAUUCUGUGAAACUCUUUUGGCUAUGGAGUUGUGGUUUUUGGUUUUUGCUACCUCUUCAAUCUCUCUUUCUGUUUCAUUCUAUGAAGGUUGUGUGUAGUUAAAAUGGUGAGUGAAGAUUGGUGAGGUUUGAAUGGUUCAAAGUUGACGGAAGGUUUGGUGAUUUGUGAAGUGGAGAUUUUGAGGAGGGUUGUUGAAUGAUGGUGAAGAUGAUGGAGUGAAGUUGGGGGUUCUGUUAAGGGUGGUCUUAUUGAAGGUUGGGGCGUCAAGAAGCUGUUGUGGGCGUGAGGCUCCGUUAGCCGGUUUUCAGAAGAAAAAAUAGUUAUUUUAACUUUCCGUUCCAUCCCCUUUUUUUCUAUUGGAGUUUGUUAUGAGAAGUAAAUCAGCUCGGUUUUGGGAGGUUUUCUUUGUAGGGUAUUCAAGGAUUGGUUUUGUCAUGUGGAGAGCGAUUGGAGGUCCUUUUUCUUUCAAUGUCAGUUGGAAAUCCUGAGUUAGAGUGUGGAUUUGGUUAGUGUCGUGAGGUUGUAACGGUCGGGAUUCAGUUAUCCUUUCUGUCGGAGGUUAGAAUUUGUUUUUUGAAGACACUCUGCUAGUUAUCAAUGUCAGUUACAAUGUGAUUGCAAUUUUACUGGACAUUCUGUUAGGGAGGUUAGAAAUCCGUACAGGUCAUUGAAGGGUUAUUUUGAAUCGGUUAGAGAAGGGUUAGUUUGUUAGUUGUGUAGAAGUUUGUUGGAAGGUUUAUUGAAUUGGUUGAAAUUGUGUACAUUGGUUUUUCUCUGCUGCAGGUCUUUGAAUGCUAUAAAUUAGAAGGAACUUGGAAUUCUGCCGGUUUUUCUCAAAGUUGGUUCUCAGUUUGGAAGUCAAGAGAUUUUGUUCAAUCUUUUGUGUGAGCAGAUAACUUUUUGGAGUUUAUUUCUCUAUUUCAAUUGUGAUGCAGGGUCAUUGGUUUUAUGUUUUUUCUAUUAUGCUCCCAUUGAGAGGUUUUAUGUUUUUUCUAUUAUGCUCCCAUUGAGAGCUUUUUCUUCCAAUAGUGUAGAAGUAUCUAUUUAAAUCGUUCACUGACACAACACGAGGUGAAUCUAUAUCUAUAUAGGAGUAGCUUGCAACUGGUUGAAUAUGAAGUCAUGACUCACAUAUAGUAAUAAGUAGUAGUAUCUAAAAGCAGUACACGCUGACACGUGAAAGCAGAUGUUGAAUAUGAAGUCAUGACUCAUAUAUAUCCAAAAAGCAGUAGAGACACGUGAAAGCAUUACACUGCACUUUAGUUCACUGACACUGACACUAAAACAGUAAGGCAAGAAAACACUAUUUAUAGGACACUACUUAGGGUUAAAGAGUAUUGAAACAGUAAGACUAUUUAAAGGACACCACUGGCACUUAGUGUUAAAAGAGAAACAGUAAGGCAAGAAAACACUAUUUAUAGGACACUACUUAGUGUUAAAGAGUAUUGAAACAGUAAGACUAUUUAAAGGACACCACUGGCACUUAGUGUUAAAAGAGAGUAAAAUACUUCCACUUAUUAAGCCAGUAUGACAUUGAACCAUAUCACAGGAUCCCACAUCACAUCUCUUUUCCCUUCUUCUCUGUAAGAUUAUCAGCAUUGUCCAAAGGGAAAUCGGUUUUCAUUAACUCCCAUUGAAUCACACCCUCUUUCACUUUUGAAAAUGAUGAUGAUCCUUGACCUCUAAGAAAAUUACUUGCCAUUACAUCCAGCUUCUUUGAUAUACCUCUCAAUUCUUCAUAAUCAUCAUCUCUUUCCAGCAUUUUUCUUUUCAGUUUUAGUUGGAACU